UCACCAGUUUUGGGCCCCGUAUCUUGGAAAGGAUGUGCUGUCAUUAGAGGGAAUCCAUAAGAGUUUUGUGAGGAUGAUUCCGGGAAUGAAGGAGUUAACAGAUGAGGAACAUUUGGCAGCUUUAGGUGUGUACUCACUGGAAUUUAGAAGAAUGUGGUGGGGGUGGGGGUGUCACCUUGAAACCUAUCGAAUGUUGAAAAGACUAGAUAAGGUGGAUGUAGAGAGAAUAUUUCUUAUGGUGGGGGUGUCCAGAACUAAAGGAUACAGCCUUGAAAUUUUAGGGCAACCGUUUAGAUCAAAAGUAAGGAGGAAUAUUUUUAGCCAGAGAGAAGUGAAUCUGUGGAGUGCUCUGCCACAGACUGAAGUAAGGCCAGGACUGUGGAUAUACUUAAAGCAAAAAUUGAUAGCUUCCUGAUUAGUCAGGGUAUCAAAGGUUAUGGCGAGAAGGCAGGUGUAAGGGGUUCAGUAGGAUCCAGGAUCAGAUUGGGCUAAGUAGAGUGGACAACCAAAGCUUUUUACCCAGGGCGCUAAUGCCUAACAUGGAACGUUAUAAUUUUAUGGUGACUGGGGAAAAGUAUAGCGGGGAUUUUAAAGGCAAUUUUUUUUUACAGGGAGAGUGGUGGGUGUAUGGAAUGUGCUGCCAGGUGUGGUUGUAGAAGCAGAUGCAUUAGGGAGUUAAAACAAGUUGUCAUUGAUUUUGAGAGAUUUCCUGAAAAGAAGAAGGAACAUGGAGCCUCAGGCUGCAGCAGAAGACAAGGCUUCAUUGUAACCUGCUUGAUGUCAUGAGCUCCUUACAAAGGGGAAACUUGGAGAGCGUUAUUGGAGCUCCAUGUGCUGCAGGUGGAUUUAGAAAAUCUAUAUAAUCUCCAGGAGUCUGAAAUAGCUUGUCUCCAAUUUGACAAUUCUUCCCCAAAAUAUCAACUGAAUUGGAGCCCUAUUUUAAAAAUCUCUUCCAUUUUCAAUGCUUUGUGCACUUUGCUCUCCUGUAUUUCAGUUGGGUUCUAAACCCUCGAAGAUCUCUGGCCUCCUUCAUUUCUGGCACUUUGCAUUGCAUCAGGCGUUGGUGGCCAAGCCUUAAGGGUCCAAGCUCAGAGCUUUGGAAUUCCCUCCAUUUCUCUCUAUUCCUGUUUAAGAUAAUCCCUGAAAAUCUACCUAACCUGUGAUCUCUACCAUGUAUUGAGACAAGGGUAGUCGGUGCAUGAGCAACCCAUACAGAUUCUCUUCUUGACCUAGAAAUACGUCAGUGUUCUGGUACCUUCGUUAUGGGAAUGAUGUGGAUGCAUUAGAAAGGAUGCAGAGGUGAUUUACCAGACUGCUGCCUGAAUCAGAGAGCAUGUCUUAUGAGGAUAGGUUGAGCAAGCUAUGGCUUUUCUCAUUGGAUUGAAGGAGGGUAAGAGGAGACUAGACAGAGGUGUAUAAGAUGAUAAGAGGCACAGAUAGAGUGAGCAGCCAAAGGCUUUUUCCCGGGGCAGAAAUGGAUAAUACAAGGGCGCAUAACUUUAAGGAAUUCAGAGGAAAGCUCUCUGGUAGGAUUUUUACACAGAGAGUGGCAUGGAGUGUGCUAGUAGGCAAAGAGGUAGAUGCAGAUCAAUUAGGGUCACUUAAGAGACUCAGAUAGGCACAUAAAUGAAUGAAAAAAGGAGGGCUAUGUGGGAGGGAUGGGUUAGAUUGAUUUUGGAGCACAUCAAAGGUCUGGAACAACAUGGGUUGAAGGUCCUGUGCUGUGCUGUACUGUUCUAUGCUCUGUUUCAAACCCUGUAUUUAUUAGCUCUAGUCUGAGUUCCAGGAAACCCCUGUCAAACAGCACUGUUGGAGGUACCUUCACCAGAAGAUCUGCAGUGCUUCAAGAAGGCACUUCACCGCCACCUUCUCGGGAUGAGCAAUAAUGUCAGGAGCAUAAAAAUCGCUGGAAUACUGGAGAAAAUUUCCACGUUUAAGGAAUUCCAGGAAAAGGCUGUCACAAUUUAUUGCCUUUAAGAAGAUGGAACGACCUGGCGCAGCCCUUUUGGUGAAGGUUCUGCCACUGUGCCAUUGGAUGUGGAAGUCCAUGCUUCAGACCCAGCAACAGCAAAUGUUUAGAUUCUUCCACUUGUCUAUGUCUGCCAACUUCAAGAUUCAAAAUUGCUUAUUGUCAUUCUACGUUAGUGUGAAGAAACGUAAAAUGAUUGUUACUCUGGUUCUGACACUCCAUAAAAAACAUAAUAAGUGUGAAGAAGACAAUAACAAAAGCACAAUAAGAAUAAAUACCCUGUACUUCAAAUAACUUGCAUACAGCAGCCUCUUUAUUAUGGGACACGAGUACAAUGGCUUUUUAAUGGAAAUAGUUAAUCAGCAAAACAUAUGGCAGCAACUCAAUGCAUAAAAUCAUGCAGACAUAGUCAAGAGGUUCAAUUGUUGUUCAGAACAAACAUCAGACUGGGGUAGAAAUGUGGUCUAAGUGAUUUUGACAGUGGAAUGGUUGUGGUGGGUGAUUUGACUAUCUCAGCAACUGCUGAUCUCCUGGGAUUUUCAUGCACUACAAUCUCUAUAGUUUACAGAGAAAGGUGCUAAAUCUAAAGAAAAACAUCCAGUGAGGGGCAGUCUGUGGGCGAAAAAGCCCUGAUAUUGAGAGAAGUCAGAGGAGAAUGGCCAGUGGUUCAAGCUGACAAGAAGGCCACCGUAACUCAAACAACCACGUGUUACAACAGCGGUGUGCAGAAGAGCAUCUCUGCACACCCAACACAUCGAACCUUUAAGUGUAACAGCAGUAGAAGACGAAGUUGCUGCUGAGAUGCUGCUGCACUCUAGUGCCUUGACUGAGUAUUACCCUGGGCUCAGAAUCAACACCAAGUAUCUCAGCCAUUUAUUCCCCUCCAUUGAUGCUACCUGAGCUGCUGAUUUCCUCCAGCAGUUUGUGUAUGUUGUUCAAAAUUUCCAGCCAUCUGUAGAAUCCCUUGUGUCCACCUGCACUCAGACUGUCCAUCGGAGUGUUAUGUGUGAAGCCAAGCAGAGCUGCAGAAUGGAUGCUGCUAAUGAGAGCGAGAGAUGCAUAAUUCAGUAUUUUGGUGUCUGCACUGAUACUGCCAUGGACAUUUGCUUUGAUCCUGAACUGUUCGUUAACACUCCUGCUGAGAGAACAGGAAGUGGUGAAGUUUGAUGGACAGGUGAUACCCCAUCGGGGGGGGGGGGGGAAUAAAAUAGUGGGUUUACUAAGACACAGGAGACACGCCACGAGACCCUGAAGACAGCAUUGUGCCCCCACAAGUUGGUGGGAGUUUGGAGGACCGAUUCACGGGACUCGGCCAGAGGCUCACAGGGUGUAAAGGUACAGCCGGUGGGGUCCUGUUGUGCGUCCACCCUUGGCUGGGUGACGGGUUCACCACGGAAGAACAGUCGCAUCUGGAACAGAGGGGUCACAGUCGGUGACCACAACGGGACAAGAAGACAACAGAAGUUUUGCCUGAAAUUUCAGCUGUAUCUCUCACUCUCUCUCUCCAACGGUACUACAACAACUGCCUCAAACUAUAAACUGAACUGAAUUCUGCUUCACUUGAAGACUGAUCAUUUAUCCCUAGACUUUGAUAGAGCUUGGCUGAUUCCUAUUCCCAUAUUUCUGUGUAUAUGUGUAUAUUAUCAAUGCUAACCUGUUACAUUUAUAUCCUUGCUUUUAGAGUACUGUAUUACUUAAUUUGCUAAUAAACUUUAUUAGUUUC